rnacentral:rRNA from 1 species
CAGGCUUAACACAUGCAAGUCGAGGGGCAGCAUGGUCUUAGCUUGCUAAGGCCGAUGGCGACCGGCGCACGGGUGAGUAACACGUAUCCAACCUGCCGUCUACUCUUGGACAGCCUUCUGAAAGGAAGAUUAAUACAAGAUGGCAUCAUGAGUCCGCAUGUUCACAUGAUUAAAGGUAUUCCGGUAGACGAUGGGGAUGCGUUCCAUUAGAUAGUAGGCGGGGUAACGGCCCACCUAGUCUUCGAUGGAUAGGGGUUCUGAGAGGAAGGUCCCCCACAUUGGAACUGAGACACGGUCCAAACUCCUACGGGAGGCAGCAGUGAGGAAUAUUGGUCAAUGGGCGAGAGCCUGAACCAGCCAAGUAGCGUGAAGGAUGACUGCCCUAUGGGUUGUAAACUUCUUUUAUAAAGGAAUAAAGUCGGGUAUGGAUACCCGUUUGCAUGUACUUUAUGAAUAAGGAUCGGCUAACUCCGUGCCAGCAGCCGCGGUAAUACGGAGGAUCCGAGCGUUAUCCGGAUUUAUUGGGUUUAAAGGGAGCGUAGAUGGAUGUUUAAGUCAGUUGUGAAAGUUUGCGGCUCAACCGUAAAAUUGCAGUUGAUACUGGAUAUCUUGAGUGCAGUUGAGGCAGGCGGAAUUCGUGGUGUAGCGGUGAAGUGCUUAGAUAUCACGAAGAACUCCGAUUGCGAAGGCAGCCUGCUAAGCUGCAACUGACAUUGAGGCUCGAAAGUGUGGGUAUCAAACAGGAUUAGAUACCCUGGUAGUCCACACGGUAAACGAUGAAUACUCGCUGUUUGCGAUAUACUGCAAGCGGCCAAGCGAAAGCGUUAAGUAUUCCACCUGGGGAGUACGCCGGCAACGGUGAAACUCAAAGGAAUUGACGGGGGCCCGCACAAGCGGAGGAACAUGUGGUUUAAUUCGAUGAUACGCGAGGAACCUUACCCGGGCUUAAAUUGCAGAUGAAUUACGGUGAAAGCCGUAAGCCGCAAGGCAUCUGUGAAGGUGCUGCAUGGUUGUCGUCAGCUCGUGCCGUGAGGUGUCGGCUUAAGUGCCAUAACGAGCGCAACCCUUGUUGUCAGUUACUAACAGGUUCCGCUGAGGACUCUGACAAGACUGCCAUCGUAAGAUGUGAGGAAGGUGGGGAUGACGUCAAAUCAGCACGGCCCUUACGUCCGGGGCUACACACGUGUUACAAUGGGGGGUACAGAGGGCCGCUACCACGCGAGUGGAUGCCAAUCCCCAAAACCUCUCUCAGUUCGGACUGGAGUCUGCAACCCGACUCCACGAAGCUGGAUUCGCUAGUAAUCGCGCAUCAGCCACGGCGCGGUGAAUACGCUCCCGGGCCUUGUACACACCGCCCGUCAAGCCAUGGGAGCCGGGGGUACCUGAAGUGCGUAACCGCGAGGAGCGCCCUAGGGUAAAACUGGUGACUGG